UCCAGACUUUGAUUCUGGCUCAGGAUGAACGCUGGCGGCAUGCCUAAUACAUGCAAGUCGAACGAGAGGAAGGAAAGCUUGCUUUUCUGAAUCUAGUGGCGAACGGGUGAGUAACACGUAGGUAACCUGCCCAUGUGCCCGGGAUAACUUCUGGAAACGGAUGCUAAAACCGGAUAGGUAGCAGACAAGCAUUUGACUGCUAUUAAAGUGGCUAUGGCCAUGAACAUGGAUGGACCUGCGGUGCAUUAGCUAGUUGGUGAGGUAACGGCCCACCAAGGCGACGAUGCAUAGCCGGCCUGAGAGGGCGGACGGCCACAUUGGGACUGAGACACGGCCCAAACUCCUACGGGAGGCAGCAGUAGGGAAUUUUCGUCAAUGGGGGGAACCCUGAACGAGCAAUGCCGCGUGAGUGAGGAAGGUCUUCGGAUCGUAAAGCUCUGUUGUAAGAGAAAAACGGCACUCAUAGGGAAUGAUGAGUGAGUGAUGGUAUCUUACCAGAAAGUCACGGCUAACUACGUGCCAGCAGCCGCGGUAAUACGUAGGUGGCGAGCGUUAUCCGGAAUGAUUGGGCGUAAAGGGUGCGUAGGUGGCAGAUCAAGUUUGGAGUAAAAGGUAUGGGCUCAACCCGUACUGGCUCUGGAAACUGAUCAGCUAGAGAACAGAAGAGGACGGCGGAACUCCAUGUGUAGCGGUAAAAUGCGUAGAUAUAUGGAAGAACACCGGUGGCGAAGGCGGCCGUCUGGUCUGGAUUCUGACACUGAAGCACGAAAGCGUGGGGAGCAAAUAGGAUUAGAUACCCUAGUAGUCCACGCCGUAAACGAUGAGAACUAGGUGUUGGGGGAAUAACUCAGUGCCGCAGUUAACGCAAUAAGUUCUCCGCCUGGGGAGUAUGCACGCAAGUGUGCAACUCAAAGGAAUUGACGGA
rnacentral:rRNA from 1 species